ACAGAUGAACAUUGCUGCAGAAAUUUGCCCUCUUCUAAACUGCCAGAGACAGCACAGAGCCAUGAGACAGAGCUGGAUCCUGCUGGAGUGCAAACAUUGGGACAGCAUCUCCAUGUUACCUUUCUCCUUCUCUCUGGAGAUCAUGAAAGCAAUUGUUUAAAAAAGAGGGGAGUGUGAUUCAUGUUCAGUCAGCUCCAGCCCGAUUCGUUACAGGAUUCUUCUGCAACAAGCUGGAGAAGAGCCUCUGGUCGGUUAUUUCUGGCAGCACCCAGGCUGGUUACAGCAGUUUUGGGCAUGGAGAGCAGUCACUAACUCUGCAAACAGCUGGUGACCGGCUUCUUAAUGUGGGAGCUGAGAUCUUGGCUACGCUUGCCAGGGGGCUGGCAUCAGCUCCCACACCCUGAACAUUUCCAGCUCUGGGAGGUCCUGUCUCAGCACCCCUCACCGCCGGCCGCUCAGCGAGGCGUCGCUCCAGCAUCCCUCCAGGAUCCAAGGGCACCCGGACACCAGCUGUAUUUUUCUUUUUUAUUUUUAAUUUGUAACGUGCAUUUCAAACCUCUCGCGUGUGAGAGCUCCCUGCAGCAGGCGGAGAGGCUGCAUCUCGCUGCCGGGCUCCGGCGGCGGUUCCCCCCCCGCUCCCCGCGGCGGGCGGUUGUUCCCCGCCCCGGGGGCCGGGGCCGGGCUGGGGCGGCCCCUCGGCCGGGAGCGCUCCGGGGCUCUGCUUCUCCCCGGGGAAAAGCGGGGCUCUUGGGCCCCGGCCACCGCUGUCAGCUGGAGGGGGCGGGAGCUGCAGCCUUGGAGUAG
ensembl:lncRNA